AGCACCGCGGUAAUACAGAGGGUGCAAGCGUUAAUCGGAAUUACUGGGCGUAAAGCGCGCGUAGGUGGUUCGCCAAGUUGGAUGUGAAAUCCCCGGGCUCAACCUGGGAACUGCAGUGGAUACUGGGUCACUAGAGUGUGGUAGAGGAUAGUGGAAUUUCCGGUGUAGCAGUGAAAUGCGUAGAGAUCGGAAGGAACAUCUGUGGCGAAGGCGACUAUCUGGGCCAACACUGACACUGAGGCACGAAAGCGUGGGGAGCAAACAGGAUUAGAUACCCGUGUAGUCCCUGUCUCUUAUACACAU
rnacentral:rRNA from 1 species